UGAACGCUAGCGGCAGGCUUAACACAUGCAAGUCGAGGGGCAGCGCGGUGUAGCAAUACACUGGCGGCGACCGGCGCAAGGGUGCGUAACGCGUGAGCAACAUGCCCGUCACAGGGGGAUAAUCCAUGGAAACGUGGUCUAACACCGCAUAGAUUACAGAAGUGACAUCACUUUUAUAAGAAAUUCGCAAGAAGGUGACGGAUUGGCUCGCGUAACAUUAGCCAGUUGGUAGGGUAACGGCCUACCAAAGCGACGAUGUUUAGGGGUCCUGAGAGGGAGGUCCCCCACACUGGAACUGAGACACGGUCCAGACUCCUACGGGAGGCAGCAGUGAGGAAUAUUGGACAAUGGAUGGAAAUCUGAUCCAGCCAUGCCGCGUGCGGGAUGAACCUGCCCUAUGGGUUGUAAACCGCUUUUGCGAGGGAGCAAUAAGGCGUACGCGUACGCUGAUGAGAGUACCUCGCGAAUAAGCAUCGGCUAACUCCGUGCCAGCAGCCGC
rnacentral:rRNA from 1 species